CAUGUAGGCGGCCCCUCAAGUGCCUUGUGAAAUGCCACGGCUCAACCGUGGAAUUGCUUGGCAUACUGUCGGGCUUGAGGCAGGUAGAGGCAUGUGGAACUCUUGGUGGAGCGGUGGAAUGCGUAGAUAUCAAGAGGAACGCCGGUGGCGAAAGCGACGUGCUGGGCCUGUCCUGACGCUGAGAUGCGAAAGCCAGGGGAGCAAACGGGAUUAGAUACCCCGGUAGUCCUGGCCCUAAACGAUGUCUACUAGGUCGGAGUCACUCUGACGUGCUUCUGGCCGAAACAAAAGCGUUAAGUAGACCGCCUGGGGAGUACGGUCGCAAGGCUAAA
rnacentral:rRNA from 1 species